GGGAUAGCUGAGAGUACGAGUGUAGACCUCGCCACAGACACGACUUUUAAACUCAUGAAGAAGACCUGUUUCUACUACUAUUAUCUACCCUCAGUGAUCCAGAAACCUCCAACCGUCUAAUUUAAAGAUUGCCGCUUAUGCCCGAUUCGUUGUGAUGACUUUAGCGGUAGUACUAUGUUCCUUCAAAUGCAGUCUACUUCAAAUGAGACAAAGAGGAGCCUCACUGUCAGCGGGAUGGUAAUGCUGAUGACCUUGAUGUCAGAUGGAGUUCUGGUAAUGAAACUGUGGCACUAGUUAAACAUGAUAAAACUGAGCCUGAUGUUUUACUAUAGCAGCACCAGACUGAACACAUUUACAUUUACAUUUAUAUAGAAGUAUGUUUGAUAUUUACACUAUAAACACGAUUGAUUAUGAGGUGACACAAUUUAAAAGAAUGCAUGAGUUAGAGGGGUUACAAGAUAGACUCAGUACAAGACCUGAUGUGUUUGAUGAUGUUGAAGCAGAACACAACGUUGACAUAUUAACUGCUGAAAUAUCUUAAAUGCUCAGUAGGGCUAAGCAAGGAUUAGCAGACAGCUAAAAUGGAUCAGAUCAAGAAAAGAAAUUUUCUAAAAAUGUUGUAUCAUCGCUAGCAAUCACACUGCAAGAUCUUUCAGUGGAUUUCACAAUUAUCUUAUUUUAAAACAAGAACAAGAGCCCAUAUACAGCAGAGGAUACAACAAGUAGUUCAUGAAGUGAAGACAAAGUCAUCAAAAGUCAAACAGAAAGUAUUAAUGAACGCCAGCAGACAAUCGAGGGAAGCACUAAUGCACAAUCAAACUCAAAAGAAACUUGUUGGAAUUGUGGUAGGAAGGCUGCAGUGGUGCAGUAAAGCAAGAUACUGUGGUAAUUACUGCCAACAUAAGACUAGGACAGACACCUUAAGCAUUGUUCAACGUACGUCAUUAUCAUCUUCUAAUAAUAGUAACACAUCUGGUGUAAUAGGACGUGCCACUAUUUGUAACAGAUCAGGUAGUAGAGGUCACAUUUCAAUAACUCGUCAACACUCAAACAGGACCGCACCCUUAAGCCUCACCUCAACCAUCACAUGUCCACUGACCACUCAUUAAUCACAGUACCUACUACAAAUCUUCGUUUAGUUAA
rnacentral:lncRNA from 1 species